AUGUAUGAGUAUGUUCAACAACGUAAUAACAUGAUGCAGUGCAUUAGAUGUAAGCAUCAGUCCAGCAGCUCAGCAUCCCACCUGCUGGCUGGGGGACCACGGGAACAUUGCUGCUGCCUGCCUGCCUGUUGCUCCUGUUGUUGGCUGUGCUCCCACCAGGCUGUUAUGUACAGACAGGAGUCGCAGUUACAAUCUGACUUCUAUGCCCAGUCACCAUAUAAGAAGUUCAUCUGGAUAACUAAUCUGCUCCCCACAGAGGCACCAGAUGGAGAGACCUGCCCCUUCUGGGCAUUGCUUCCUCACUGGUGGACCAGCAGUUCAGAUGUUGACCACAUCAGCUGCUAUCAGUGAAUGGCUUAAGUUGAGCAGAGUGGGUCAUCUAACUCUUGGCUGAGCAGAGGAAGAAUAAUCUGGUAGAGUCACAACUGACAUCAGCUACGAUGCCAUCCUCAAAGCCGUCCUUUAAAUAUGUGGAGUGGGAAGUAUGUAUGAGAAGUGAAGGCUACACAAGACAAGUAUAUCUUGUGGAGUCUCAGGACACAGCUCCAGCAGUGGAUGUUCCACAGGCAAAGUCCAAGGCUGCCUGUCAUCGAGAUGGAAAGGUUUUUCUCUACCCAAAGACCAAAGAGUUACAUGCCACAGAACUUGCACUGUAAUUAAUCACUUGGUGACGUUUCAACAUGUGAGGAAAAAAAAAAAAAGUCUGUCUCUUUCACUUUAGAGUGAAAAACUGUGAAGUCUGUCAGUAAACAUUCUGAUCAGACAUUAAUUUCAUAGCAGUCUCAUUUUGAUGCCUGACACUGCUGUGUCAUCUGGGCUUUUUCAUUCGUUAUGUGCAUUUGUUAUUUUAAUCUUAAAAUGUCUAUCUGUGCAAUUCAGUUGAGAGAUUUCUGUUUUCAAUAAUAUAUUUGCCAUAAUGCUUUCCUUCCUCCUUCAGACCUCUCUGAAAUCAAGCACUGCAGUCCACUGACAUGUUGACAGUUUUGCAUGAAUUUAAGAAAAAGGAGUUGGAAUUGGCUGACAAAGAUUUGUUUAUUAUUAUUAAACUGACUGUGUGUCUAAGUUGCUCUUCUGAAAAUAAAAUUAAGAGAAGGAGAAACUGAAAAAAGUGU
rnacentral:lncRNA from 1 species